AUGGCAACUUGCUUAUCUGACUUGAUUAGAGAAUAUUGUUUAGACUUUAUUGGUAUCGAGGAAACAAUGAAGAAGGAUUUUCCCUCUAAGUUCUCGAGGAAAAUUGAUCCAGGGGAAUGCUUUUGCUGGAAUUGGAUUCCUUCAGUGGGCAAGUCUGGGGGAAUUUUAUGUGGUACUAAGAAUGAUACUUUUGAUAUCAGAUCCUGCAAAGCAGGAUUUUUUUUUAUGAAACUUGAGUUGUGGGAUAAAGGUAAAAAAGUGAAUUACUGUAUUCUGGUAGUGUAUGGAUCUGCACAUGAGGAACAUAAAGUGGAAUUUUUAACUGAGCUCUCUGACAUGUGUAGCAACAUUACAUGCCCUUAUAUUGUGGGAGGUGAUUUUAAUAUGCUGAGAUAUGCUAGUGAGAGAAACAAAAAAACUAGGAUAAGUCACUCUUCUGAUCUCUUUAACUCCAUCAUUAAUGCUUUUUGUCUAAGAGAAGUAGACAUGAAUGGUGAGAUUUACACUUGGACUAAUAACCAGCAAAAUCCUACCCUUGAAAAGUUGGACAGAAUCCUUAUGUCCAGUUCUUGGGAGAGCCAAUUUCCUUUGACUUUUGUUAGAAAACUGGUUAAAGAAAUUUCAGAUCACUGCCCUCUGAUUUUGAAUACUGAAGAUUAUAUCCCUACUUCAGUGCAGAAAAGAGAAUUUAGAUUUGAUCUAAACUGGCUCAAGAAUCCUGAUUUUAUUCCCUUAGUUGCUAAGGUGUCGAUGAAACCUGUUAAAUCAAAUGAUCCCAUGGAUAUUUUGAACAUUAAACUGAAGAGAUUUAAGAAGUUUUUUAAAGUAUGGGGGUCUAAUAUCUUUGGGAAAUCUUGGAAAGGAGGAGAGAACUAA
rnacentral:rRNA from 1 species